rnacentral:rRNA from 1 species
GGAAUGCGGACUUCGGUCCAAGUGAAGUCGAGGAAAGCGGCGGACGGGUGAGUAGCGCGUGGGUAACCUGCCCCAUACAAUGGGAUAGCCACUGGAAACGGUGAUUAAUACCAUAUAAAGCUUUAUAAUCGCAUGAUUUAAAAGCUAAAGAUUUAUCGGUAUGGGAUGGACCCGCGUCUGAUUAGCUAGUUGGUGAGGUAACGGCUCACCAAGGCGACGAUCAGUAGCCGACCUGAGAGGGUGAUCGGCCACACUGGAACUGAGACACGGUCCAGACUCCUACGGGAGGCAGCAGUGGGGAAUAUUGCACAAUGGGCGCAAGCCUGAUGCAGCAACGCCGUGUGAGUGAUGAAGGCCUUCGGGUCGUAAAACUCUGUCCUAUGGGAAGAAAACAAUGACGGUACCAUAGGAGGAAGCCCCGGCUAACUACGUGCCAGCAGCCGCGGUAAUACGUAGGGGGCAAGCGUUAUCCGGAAUCACUGGGCGUAAAGGGUGCGUAG